rfam:Erwinia carotovora subsp. atroseptica SCRI1043, complete genome
AUUGAUUUUGAAUCGUGAAGGAUGAGAACCGAAAGGUUCGACAAAAUCUGCAGUAUCGAUUUUGAACAACGCGAAAGCGUUGGCCCGAAGGGCGAGUCCGUAGGAAGAGUAAUCCUGCACGACCCACCA